CAAACUAGACCUCGAUUACACAUCUGUGUUUUAGAGCACCGGGAGCAGUUCAGAUAUCUGCAUUUAUCCACAGGAAGUGCAAGAAUAUAAAGAGCAUGGAAUGGGAAAAGCUGAGGAACCACACGGGGUGUAACAUUUUUGCUUUCCACUCAUCUGAACUUUGAUUGAACUCCUGUGGAGAAAAUUCAGUCACCCCAGCCAUAAACUGUUCAGACUGCUUCCAUCAGGAAGGAGGUUCUGCAGCAUCCGGUCCCGUACCAGCAGACUGAGAGACAGCUUCUUCCAUCAGGCCAUCAGACUGCUGAACACGUCAUAGACACCUCAGCUUCACUACUGGAACUUCAACAUUAUGCACUCCACACUGUAUAUAAAUGCCACUUGUUUUGCACAUAUUCAACUCUGUAUAUUUUAUAUAUUUUAUUAUUAUUAUUUUUUUUUUUUUUUACUAUUUAAUUUGUAAAAAAUGUGUAUACACACACACACACACACACACACACACACACACACACACACACACACGUAGGAAAAUAUUUAGUAUACACAUCCAGAAAUGCAUACACUAUUAUAUAUUGUACAUAUAUUUAUUAGUUUCAGGUUGGCCAUUCUUGUAUUUUGCUCGUUUGUGUUGUUGUGUUUGCACAUCUCUGUUGCUUGUGGGGCUCGCACACAAGAAUUUCACUCGCAUGUGCUGUGCCAGUGUGCCUGCACAUGUGAUGUGACAAUAAAAG
ensembl:lncRNA